rnacentral:rRNA from 1 species
GUGGGGAAUAUUGGACAAUGGGCGAAAGCCUGAUCCAGCCAUGCCGCGUGUGUGAAGAAGGUCUUCGGAUUGUAAAGCACUUUAAGUUGGGAGGAAGGGUAGUAACCUAAUACGUUGCUACUUUGACGUUACCGACAGAAUAAGCACCGGCUAACUUCGUGCCAGCAGCCGCGGUAAUACGAAGGGUGCAAGCGUUAAUCGGAAUUACUGGGCGUAAAGCGCGCGUAGGUGGUUCAGUAAGUUGGAAGUGAAAUCCCCGGGCUCAACCUGGGAACUGCUUUCAAAACUGCUGAGCUAGAGUACAGUAGAGGGUGGUGGAAUUUCCUGUGUAGCGGUGAAAUGCGUAGAUAUAGGAAGGAACACCAGUGGCGAAGGCGACCACCUGGACUGAUACUGACACUGAGGUGCGAAAGCGUGGGGAGCAAACAGGAUUAGAAACCCGAGUAGUCC